GCAGUGCUGAAGGGACCAUGGUGAAAUUGAAAACAUAACAAGAGUGCUGCAGGAAGAGGAUGGUACAGGUCAGGAGUGGUGAUGACCAAUGAUGUUACAGGUGGAGGGUCAGAUAUGUUGGCUGGGUGCUGGAAGAGGAUACAUUUCUCAGUUUUUGUGAGGAAGUCUGCCAAAAAGCUACUGUCGUCUUCCUGGUAGCUUCCAGCACCUGCUCUCAGUCUUGUCUUGACCUUUUUGUUCCUGACAAACUGGUCUGCCUCAAAAUGGGCCUGCAGACAGGGAAGCCAUACAUUCGCACUCCUUUCUCAGAAGGAUUGGAGCAUCCCCAUGCAGCACAGCAAACCAUGGUGGAGACUAUACAAGGACAUCGUGGAGAAAAGGA